CUCAGCCAGAGACAGGAGCAAACUGCAGAAGAUCCAAGUUUAUUGCGCAACAGGUUCAAGGCGAGAUUGAACAGCGAGAAAGGGGUGACAUGAACUUUUGAAAUUUCCCUCCAUGUCCCAGAAUACAGUGCAAAAUACAUCCCAGUUACAUCAUGAAUACAUUAAGAAGAGGUUGGGUUACACAGAUUACAUCAUGAAUACAUUAAGAAGAGGUUGGGUCACACAGGAUUAACAUAUGGAGGAGGGAGGGGGGAAUAUGCAGAGCUGGAGAUAUGCGCAGAUAAGCACAUCCUGAGUACCUGAUGAGAAGACAAUGGUCCAUGUAUGCAUGGUCUGCCACCUGGCAUUGCCCGGAGGAAAGGCUUGGCAGAGUGAUUUGACAGGAUUAGGGUCUUGACACCUUGCUUGAGGGAUUAUGGAGGACAGGGGAGGUGUCAUGGAGUCCUAGAGAAAUUGAGCAAAUUGGCACGUUGGUUUUCUAUGAAUUUUAUAGAUUUU